CCGACGCGGGACUCGAUCUCGGGACUCCGGGAUCUCGCCCUGGGCCGAAGCCGGCGCUCAGCCGCUGAGCCACCCGGGCGUCCCCCUUUUUUUGUUGUAAGAGAAAAUUGGAAAAUUGUAGCGUCGGAUUACACCCUCCGUGAGAUCAGAACCAGCAGUUCGCUGUCAUGCUGUAGCACCCGGCUGCAGAAUAGGGUUGAAGUUAUAGUCCCCACCGAGUCGGCUGUUGAUUCAGCAUGAUCGGGGGUCUUCUGUGCACCAGGACUGAGGCAGGGGCUGGUCAAGACUGUCCCGGGCCGCAAGAAGCUCGCAGUUCGGUUACUUGACAACCGUCCGGGUCUUCACGCCCCCACCUGAAGCUCUUUUAACAGUUUGCAGCUGCAGGGACUUUGUGACUGCCUGGAUUACCGGAGCAACACUCUAGGCCUCCUAUGUGCAAAAGUCUGGUGACGGGGGACACGAAGUGCCAGGUGGAGGACACAUAGAAGUAUAAAGUGGCACAUUGUACCAUUAUUCUCUACCUUUGGCUUACUAAUGAGUGAGGAAAGACUAAAAGGAAGAACUAUGGAUUGCCUUUUCCUUCUGUCAUCCUGUUCCAUGGUGAAUCUUAACAAAAUGAAGAAAAUGUAACUAAACUAGAAGAUGCAGAUGCAAAACGCUGACACUAAUGAAAAUAGAGAAAAAUUAUACUCCAUUUCCAUGAGGAAGUUGAUCAUCGAAGAAUCUGAGAAUUUCCUGGAAAAAAUCAUUGACCUGCCGUAAAGUAGGAAGUUUAUAAAUUUACCAAGUAUUAUAGUUUUUUUGUACCUUUCUGACUUCUGUCAAGAGUAUUGGCUAAAAAUCCUUGGUCAAACAAAUUGAGAGUAAAGUUUCCCUCUGCCAUUUGCUAAAUAUAAUAUCUAGUGUUUAGUAUAUCCCUGCACCCAUAUAUAAUAGAGUUCUGUAAAUAGCCCAGUGUAGUGAUUAGCUUUUUGGAUUUUGGAAUAAGAAAGACAAGGUUUUGAAUCCUACCUAGAUUUACCAACUACUUUAUGAUCUUAAGAAUGAUAUUUGAUUACUCUGAAACUCAAUUUCCUUUUGUGCAAAAUGGAUAUAAUAAUAAUACAUGACUAAAAGAGUAAUGGUAAGGUAAACAAGAUCAUACAUGUACUUAACACAGGCAGUAAUGUAGUAUAUGAUCAAUAAAUUUUAGCUGUUAUGAUUGUGCAAGUAAAAUGCUUAUAUGUUGCUAUGGUUUCAUUUUAAAAGUAAUUAAGAGGUAUUUAUAAUUUUGUGACUUGACAAUCUGUUCAGCAAUAGACUCAGGUCAAAAUAUCAUAAGAUAUAUAUCAAAAUAUAUUAAGAAGAACAUAUGAACCAAUAUGUUCAAACAUUAAGACAUAUUUCUAAGAUUUAGUACUAUCAUAUUUUAGAAGCAAAUAGACAUCUAUAAGAAUUAUGUUUAUUAUAAUAGAAGUCCUUUCUUGAGCACUUAUAAUUCUCACAAAUGAAAUAGGUACUGUUGUUUUCCACAUUUCCUUAGUUGAGUAAACUGAGACUUUGAGUUGAUAACUUACCCAAGGUCAUUUUGCUAAUAAAUAAUAGAGCCAGAAUCUCAGGUUUACCUGAAUUCAGAGCCUGCGUGCUUCCUUAAACCAAUAUGCUUUAUAAAAAAUAGACUCCACAAGAAAGCUAAGAGAUGGUAUUAAUUAAAGACCUGAGAAAAGGGUGAUAAUUUCCACUUUUUUAGCUGAAGCAAUAGGAGGGUCAGUGAAGGAAAGCAGUUUUCUGUAUUUGUGACUUAAAAAUUGUCAAUAAAUAGGCUUAAACAGAAGCUAUCUUAAAGGUUGGAAGAAAUUCAAAUGCAUACCAUUAGGCAGGUUAAUGUAAUGCUCAAAAUAAAAUAUUGUUCCCAAUAUUUUAUUUCAAAAUUUUUAUUUCACUAAACUUCCACCUAAUGUGUCUUGGGUUUGGUACUAUACUGCUUGAGGAACUACGUCUAUCUUUGUGAUUUUUAAUUGUCAGUUUAACUUGAACUAGGGUUUUCUUUAUAACAUAGAAAUAGUACUAAAUUUCCCUCUUCCGCAGUCUCCUCUACAGCAUUAUUGUCUACUCAUAGUAGUUCAGACUGUGGAAAUGAUAAAGAAAUGGAGAGCUCCUCAAUAAAAUCACAGUGAUUACAUGCACACUGGAUUUUUCUUCCCUUACUUAACUACUCCCAAUGCAAUUUAAUGCCUGAAGAGUAUGUUGAGGGAAUAACUACAUUCAGAGAGGCUCCAGCUCUAAAUAACAGACAGUUGGGGAGUCUUUUAAAAAUGUAUAUUAUUUAGAUACGGGACCUAUGAGCUCAUGACCCUUGUUCAAAGAUAAUGGAGUAAAAAUAAAAGCAAUGGUAAAAAACAAAUGACAUUUAGAAAAGCAUUUUUAUUUUACCUGGAAUCCUGCCCUGAGACCACUGCAAAUUGAAGUUCCACCACCGGCUGCUUGAGGCAGGUUUGCAAGGAUCUUUUCAUAAGCAUUAUGAUCAGUUAUUUCUGUUAGGUAAUUUUGGAUUGUAGCAGAACUUUCAAAUGUGACCAUACCAGUCAAGGAUCCCUUUUCAAUAAUUUGAAUCAAGAACAGUUCUGCUGCUUGAUUCAUUUGAAAGAGACGGUCUUCCUGCAAGAAAAAGAUGUCUGAACAAUUCCUGAGUCUCCUCAAAUCUUGACAGAUUAGUGAAAGACCAAGUUGUUCGUGAGCGAGAGAUCAUGAUAGUAAUUGAUUACCAUAUUUUAGAAUUUGAUUCCUUUAUUUUAUUUAAAAGAAAUAAUAUUAAAGAAAAAAUUUGAAAAUCAGUCAUGUUAUACUUAGUAAAGUCUUAAA